rnacentral:rRNA from 1 species
GGCUCAGGAUGAACGCUGGCGGCGUGCCUAAUACAUGCAAGUCGAGCGAAUGGAUUGAGAGCUUGCUCUCAAGAAGUUAGCGGCGGACGGGUGAGUAACACGUGGGUAACCUGCCCAUAAGACUGGGAUAACUCCGGGAAACCGGGGCUAAUACCGGAUAACAUUUUGAACUGCAUGGUUCGAAAUUGAAAGGCGGCUUCGGCUGUCACUUAUGGAUGGACCCGCGUCGCAUUAGCUAGUUGGUGAGGUAACGGCUCACCAAGGCAACGAUGCGUAGCCGACCUGAGAGGGUGAUCGGCCACACUGGGACUGAGACACGGCCCAGACUCCUACGGGAGGCAGCAGUAGGGAAUCUUCCGCAAUGGACGAAAGUCUGACGGAGCAACGCCGCGUGAGUGAUGAAGGCUUUCGGGUCGUAAAACUCUGUUGUUAGGGAAGAACAAGUGCUAGUUGAAUAAGCUGGCACCUUGACGGUACCUAACCAGAAAGCCACGGCUAACUACGUGCCAGCAGCCGCGGUAAUACGUAGGUGGCAAGCGUUAUCCGGAAUUAUUGGGGGAAAGCGCGCGCGGGUGGUUUCUUAAGUCUGAUGUGAAAAGCCCACGGUUCAACCCGGGGAGGGUCAUUUGGAAAACUGGGAGACUUGAGUGCAGAAGAGGAAAGUGGAAUUCCAUGUGUUAGCGGUGAAAAUGCGUAGAGAUAUGGAGGAACACCAGUGGCCGAAGGCGACUUUUCUGGGCCUGGUAACUGACACUGAGGGGCCGAAAGCGUGGGGGAGCAAAACAG